rnacentral:rRNA from 1 species
CCCCGAGGAAAAGAAAUCAACCGAGAUUCCCCCAGUAGCGGCGAGCGAACGGGGAGCAGCCCAGAGCCUGAAUCAGUAUGUGUGUUAGUGGAAGCGUCUGGAAAGGCGCGCGAUACAGGGUGACAGCCCCGUACACAAAAAUGCACAUGCUGUGAGCUCGAUGAGUAGGGCGGGACACGUGGUAUCCUGUCUGAAUAUGGGGGGACCAUCCUCCAAGGCUAAAUAC